rnacentral:lncRNA from 1 species
GUAGGGUUUUUAUCAUGAAUGGGUGCUGGAUUUUGUCAAAUGCUUUUUCUGCCUCUAUUGAGAUGAUCAUAUGGUUUAUUUCUCUUAAUGUGGUGUAUUACAUUUUUUGAUUUACGAAUGUUGAACCAUCCUUGCAUCCCUGGGAUAAAUCUGACUUGGUUAGGGUGUAUGAUCUUCUUGAUGACUCUCUGUAUUCUGUUUGCCAGUAUUUUGUUGAGGAUUUUUGCAUCUAUGUUCAUUAGGGAGAUUGGCCUAUAGUUCUCUUUUUGGGUUGGGUCUUUCCCUGGUUUUGGAAUCAAAGUAACACUUGCUUCCAGGAAUGAAUUUGGAAGCCUUGCUUCCCUUUCAGUUUCCUUGAUGAGUUUAAAGAGUAAUGGUGUUAGAUCUUCUUUAAAUGUCUUGUAAAUUUCAGCAGUGAAGCCAUCCGGACCUGGGCUUUCCUUUGUUGGGCAGAGGCAUUUAUUGCUAAGUGUACGCUGCUGGCAAAGCAGCCACCUCAGGUGUGCCAAGCAUCUACGCCCCCAGCACCUAAGCCUACCUCUCCCCUGCCAAGACCCCACCCCCACUGCCAAUCAUGAUUCCCAUGGGCCCCAUCUACAAUGGCUACCCUGGAGGGUACCCUGGAGACUUCGAUAGGAACAGCUCAGGUGAGGCCUGGGGAGAGCCUGGGUGGAUAGGGGGUGGGCUGGGUCAGAAAAGUAGAUCGGGGGGAGGGGGCUGGGCAGCCACUGACAGCCAGUCUCCCCUAG